rnacentral:rRNA from 1 species
AGAGUUUGAUCCUGGCUCAGGAUGAACGCUAGCGGCAGGCCUAACACAUGCAAGUCGAGGGGCAGCACGGUGUAGCAAUACACUGGUGGCGACCGGCGCACGGGUGCGUAACGCGUAUGCAACCUACCCAUAACAGGGGGAUAACACUGAGAAAUUGGUACUAAUACCCCAUAACAUCAGGACCGGCAUCGGUUCUGGUUGAAAACUCCGGUGGUUAUGGAUGGGCAUGCGUUGUAUUAGCUGGUUGGUGAGGUAACGGCUCACCAAGGCAACGAUACAUAGGGGGACUGAGAGGUUAACCCCCCACAUUGGUACUGAGACACGGACCAAACUCCUACGGGAGGCAGCAGUGAGGAAUAUUGGUCAAUGGACGCAAGUCUGAACCAGCCAUGCCGCGUGCAGGAUGACGGCUCUAUGAGUUGUAAACUGCUUUUGUACGAGGGUAAACGCAGAUACGUGUAUCUGUCUGAAAGUAUCGUACGAAUAAGGAUCGGCUAACUCCGUGCCAGCAGCCGCGGUAAUACGGAGGAUUCAAGCGUUAUCCGGAUUUAUUGGGUUUAAAGGGUGCGUAGGCGGUUUGAUAAGUUAGAGGUGAAAUUUCGGGGCUCAACCCUGAACGUGCCUCUAAUACUGUUGAGCUAGAGAGUAGUUGCGGUAGGCGGAAUGUAUGGUGUAGCGGUGAAAUGCUUAGAGAUCAUACAGAACACCGAUUGCGAAGGCAGCUUACCAAACUAUAUCUGACGUUGAGGCACGAAAGCGUGGGGAGCAAACAGGAUUAGAUACCCUGGUAGUCCACGCAGUAAACGAUGAUAACUCGUUGUCGGCGAUACACAGUCGGUGACUAAGCGAAAGCGAUAAGUUAUCCACCUGGGGAGUACGUUCGCAAGAAUGAAACUCAAAGGAAUUGACGGGGGCCCGCACAAGCGGAGGAACAUGUGGUUUAAUUCGAUGAUACGCGAGGAACCUUACCCGGGCUUGAAAGUUAGCGACGAUUCUUGAAAGAGGAUUUCCCUUCGGGGCGCGAAACUAGGUGCUGCAUGGUUGUCGUCAGCUCGUGCCGUGAGGUGUCGGGUUAAGUCCCAUAACGAGCGCAACCCCUACCGUUAGUUGCCAUCAGGUGAAGCUGGGCACUCUGGCGGGACUGCCGGUGUAAGCCGAGAGGAAGGUGGGGAUGACGUCAAAUCAGCACGGCCCUUACGUCCGGGGCUACACA